CCGGCCAGAGACCGAUAGCGCACAAGUAGAGUGAUCGAAAGAUGAAAAGCACUUUGAAAAGAGGGUUAAACAGCACGUGAAAUUGUUAAAAGGGAAGCGCUUGUGACCAGACUUGCGUCCGGUGAAUCACCCAGCUCUCGCGGCUGGGGCACUUCGCCGGCUCAGGCCAGCAUCAGCUCGCUGUCGGGGACAAAAGCUUCAGGAACGUAGCUCUCUUCGGGGAGUGUUAUAGCCUGUUGCAUAAUACCCUUCGGCGGGCUGAGGUACGCGCUCCGCAAGGAUGCUGGCAUAAUGGUCAUCAGCGACCCGUCUUGAAACACGGACC
rnacentral:rRNA from 1 species